rnacentral:misc_RNA from 1 species
UCAAGAUAUUCCUUCCUCGAUUUUACCAUUUUUUCCAGUCACCACACAGUUCGUUGAGAAAGCUUGCCUUGGCUUCUGUGAAUCAGUACAUUAUGUUAAUGCCUGCUGCUUUGUAUGCAUCUAUGACUGAAUAUCUUCAGGGUUUGUUUAUUCUUGCUCGGGAUCCUACUUCAGAAGUGCGGAAAUUGGUUUGUGCAGCUUUUGUUCAAUUAAUUGAAGUCCGUCCAUCUUUUUUAGAGCAUCAUUUGAAGGAUGUUAUUGAAUAUAUUUUGCAAGUCAACAACGAUAGUGAUGAUGAAGUAGCUCUUGAAGCAUGUGAAUUCU